AUUGAACGCUGGCGGCAUGCCUUACACAUGCAAGUCGAACGGUAACAGGUCUUCAGAUGCUGACGAGUGGCGAACGGGUGAGUAAUACAUCGGAACGUGCCUAGUAGUGGGGGAUAACUACUCGAAAGAGUGGCUAAUACCGCAUGAGAUCUACGGAUGAAAGCAGGGGAUCGCAAGACCUUGUGCUACUAGAGCGGCCGAUGGCAGAUUAGGUAGUUGGUGGGAUAAAAGCUUACCAAGCCGAAGAUCUGUAGCUGGUCUGAGAGGACGAUCAGCCGCACUGGGACUGAGACACGGCCCAGACUCCGACAGGAGGCAGCAGUGGGGAAUUUUGGACAAUGGGCGCAAGCCUGAUACAGCAAUGCCGCGUGCAGGAUGAAGGCCUUCGGGUUGUAAACUGCUUUUGUACGGAACGAAAAGCCCUGGGUUAAUACCCUGGGGUCAUGACGGUACCGUAAGAAUAAGCACCGGCUAACUACGUGCCAGCCGCCGCAGUAACAC
rnacentral:rRNA from 1 species